rnacentral:rRNA from 1 species
AGUGGCGGACGGUUGAGUAACGCGUGAGAAUCUGCCUUGGGGUCGGGGACAACCACUGGAAACGGUGGCUAAUACCGGAUAAGCCGAUUGGUGAAAGAUUAUUGCCCGAAGAGGAGCUCGCGUCUGAUUAGCUAGUUGGUGAGGUAAGAGCUCACCAAGGCAGCCAUCAGUAGCUGGUCUGAGAGGACGAUCAGCCACACUGGGACUGAGACACGGCCCAGACUCCUACGGGAGGCAGCAGUGGGGAAUUUUCCGCAAUGGGCGAAAGCCUGACGGAGCAAGACCGCGUGAGGGAGGAAGGCUCUUGGGUUGUAAACCUCUUUUCUCAGGGAAGAAGCUCUGACGGUACCUGAGGAAUCAGCCUCGGCUAACUCCGUGCCAGCAGCCGCGGUAAUACGGAGGAGGCAAGCGUUAUCCGAAUUAUUGGGCGUAAAGCGUCCGCAGGUGGCGAUUCAAGUCUGCUGUCAAAGCACGGGGCUUAACUCCGUAAAGGCAGUGGAAACUGAAUAGCUAGAGUGCCGUAGGGGUAGAGGGAAUUCCCGGUGUAGCGGUGAAAUGCGUAGAGAUCGGGAAGAACAUCGGUGGCGAAAGCGCUCUACUGGACGGCAACUGACACUCAGGGACGAAAGCUAGGGGAGCGAAUGGGAUUAGAUACCCC